rnacentral:antisense_RNA from 2 species
UCCUAUGGUCGGGCCUUGGUGGGGGAGCGCUCGCGCUCGCCGGUUGCCUGCGAUACCGGUACGCCAACUCUACCUUGUGCCCGGCCACCCUG